ensembl:misc_RNA
UUGACAGCCACUGGAGACUCCAGCCCUCUAUUUACCCACAGAGCAGGUAUACCAUGAGCAGCAGCAGAUCAUGCUUCCUACGCUCACAUGCCGCCCCCACCAUCAAUGUACCUCAACUCUGACCUGGAGGCAUUGCUUCUAGGAAUGAGUGAGGAGUUCAUUCUCAAGGCCCAUUCAGACCUCGCCUGCU